AAACGCUCGUUCCCAUUCCGAACACGAAAGCUAAGCCCUCUAACGCCGAUGAUACUGCCUGGGCAACUGGGUGGGAAAGUAGGAAGCUGCCGGGA
rnacentral:rRNA from 1 species